CAAAAUUCUCAGGGCGGGGUGUAAGUCCCCACCGGUGGUAUAGCCCACGAGCGCUUAAUUUGUCUUGUUAACUGUGGUGAUUUUUUUAUUGUUCAGUUAAUUUUGACGGGUUAAGGUCAAGCAGAUUUGGUGAAAUUCCAAAGCCGACAGUUAAAGUCUGGAUAAAAGAGAGUUGCU
rnacentral:ncRNA from 2 species